GCUGGUUUAGUAUAAGUUUAGUGCGUGGGAUUGUAGCUCCUGAGGUAGAAUGUGUUU
rnacentral:tRNA from 1 species